rnacentral:rRNA from 1 species
UUAGAGGAAGUAAAAGUCGUAACAAGGUCUCCGUUGGUGAACCAGCGGAGGGAUCAUUACAAGAAGCCGAAAGGCUACUUCAAACCAUCGCGAACUCGUCCAAGUUGCUUCGGCGGCGCGGCACCCCUUAACGGGGGCGCCGCAGCCCUGCCUCUCCGGAGGUUCGGGGCGCCCGCCGGAGGUACGAAACUCUGUAUUAUAGUGGCAUCUCUGAGUAUAAAACAAAUAAGUUAAAACUUUCAACAACGGAUCUCUUGGUUCUGGCAUCGAUGAAGAACGCAGCGAAAUGCGAUAAGUAAUGUGAAUUGCAGAAUUCAGUGAAUCAUCGAAUCUUUGAACGCACAUUGCGCCCGGUAGUACUCUACCGGGCAUGCCUGUUCGAGCGUCAUUUCAACCCUCAAGCCCUGCUUGGUGUUGGGGCCCUACGGCUGCCGUAGGCCCUGAAAGGAAGUGGCGGGCUCGCUACAACUCCGAGCGUAGUAAUUCAUUAUCUCGCUAGGGAGGUUGCGGCGUGCUCCUGCCGUUAAAGACCCAUC